rnacentral:ncRNA from 1 species
UUCUUAUCCAGAGAAGUCGAGGGACUGGCCCUAUGACGCUUCGGCAACAGGCAUAUAAAGUACUGUGCUAAUUCCAGUAGCAUCACGCUAGAAGAUAAGAG